GAUGAACGCUGGCGGUGUGCCUAAUACAUGCAAGUCGUACGCAUUCCCGUUUUUGAUUGAAGGUGCUUGCACCUGAUUGAUAAAACAUCGGAAUGAGUGGCGGACGGGUGAGUAACACGUGGGUAACCUGCCCAGAAGUGGGGGAUAACAUUUGGAAACAGAUGCUAAUACCGCAUAAUAGAUAGAACCACAUGGUUCUAUUUUGAAAGAUGGCCUUUGUGCUAUCACUUCUGGAUGGACCCGCGGUGUAUUAGCUAGUUGGUAAGGUAACGGCUUACCAAGGCAAUGAUACAUAGCCGAACUGAGAGGUUGAUCGGCCACAAUGGGACUGAGACACGGCCCAUACUCCUACGGGAGGCAGCAGUAGGGAAUCUUCCACAAUGGGCGCAAGCCUGAUGGAGCAACACCGCGUGAGUGAAGAAGGGUUUCGGCUCGUAAAACUCUGUUGUUAAAGAAGAACGUAUCUAAGAGUAACUGCUUAGGUAGUGACGGUAUUUAACCAGAAAGCCACGGCUAACUACGUGCCAGCCGCCGCGU
rnacentral:rRNA from 1 species